GGCCACCAAAUGGCUCUUGAAGAGCACCUGGAGCUCAAAGCGGUGGGAGAUCACCUGUGCUUGCUCUUUGGUGUGUGGAUGAGCUUCAGACGUAGCAGGGCUGGUCCUCUGUGUGCACGAAGUGAGGGGCUGCGGCCUCUGUUUAUGACCUUGUACUGAAGAUGACCACUCUUUUUACAACAUCUCGGCAGGACUUUGUGACAAUGUUGUUACCCACUUUCAGAGCAGAGGUUGUGGAGGGCUGUGGUCCUGAGGCGUCGCACAAACCGCACCCAGCUCCACUUUCCCUGGAUGCAGCCAGCCCUACUACUGUGAGAUUAAUGAGCCAAAUUCUGUUCUCAGUGAUAUUUGUGGAGUUGUCCCAUAUUUGUCCUGUAUAAAUCAGAAUCAGUCUUACUCUGCUCAGGAAAGCCAACGAGGUUUUGG
ensembl:lncRNA